rnacentral:tRNA from 1 species
GCGGGUGUAGCUCAGCCGGUAGAGUACAAGCUUCCCAAGCUUGGGGUCGCGGGUUCGAGACCCGUCGCCCGCUCCA